CCUUGAUCUCGCAGGUUCAAGCAAUCCUCCUGCCUCCCAAAGUGUUGGAAUUACAGCUGUAAGCCACUGUGCGCAACCAACCUUUCUUCCUUUUAAUGUAUGCAUUUGAAGUUACACAUUUCCUCUAAACCCUGCUUCAGAUGCACCCCACACAUCUGGUCACUUAACGAGCAUACGGUCUCUGGGUGUUUUCCUGUCACUGAUUCCCACUUUAAUCCACUGUUGAGAUGCCUUGAGACUUGCUGUAUGACCCAACGUGGAGUCCACUUUAAUAAACGCCCACUUGAACAGAUGCCAUUUCUCCAAGUAUUCGCUGAAGUUUGCAAAACUCAGGUCAAGUUGGUUAAACCUUGUAAAAAAAAAAAAACUAUAUCCUGUUCUUGUCUACCUGUUCCACUGCCUGGGGAGAGAGGCGGCCAUCAGCGUGGGCCUGUCAACUUCACCCCUCCUUCUGCCCUUUGUGCUGCCUGUACUGAAGCCAUGUCACUGCCCUCGCCCCUGCAACGUCACCCGUCACCUCCUGCCUUGGUCUAUCCCACCUGAUAUGGACAGUGACACCAGCCUUCUUCCUGUUAUGGUCUGCAUGGUAAGCAAUUUCCAAUUAUUCCACUUCAGCCUUGCUAGGUCUUCGUGUGCAAGGGUUUUGAAGUAUGGCUCCUGUAAGCAGUAUAGACUUGAGUUUUGUGUGAGCUUGGUUUUUAAUCCAGCCCGAUUAACUGGAGUGUGUCUUCUAUCCACCUUCAAUGGGAUGACUGACAGGCACAGCAGGGCGUCGGUCUACCAGCUGGCUGUUUUCUAUCUAUAUCCCACCUGGGUUUGUUUGUUUAUCUCUACGUUGUUCUGGCGAAUUCAUCACAUAUUUUUUGUUCCAUUUUUCUUCUUGAUUGCAUCUUUAAUCUGCCCUAGGGAUUGGUACAUUCUCUGCUUCCUGGUGAUGGAGCUCCUGAAACACAUUCACUCGGUUAAUCCCCUCCUCGGCUGUGUGUGUGUGUGCGCGCUGGUGCUUGUGUGUGUGUACAUGCACACGUGUGUUGGUGCUCCUGCUGUCUGUGUGUGCGCACGCGCUGGUGCUCCUGCUGUCAGAUAUGUUACUACCAAACAGGUUUUAAAACCCACAGGACGUUAGUAUUGGUGUUUUAAGCAGCUGGUGCUGGUGUCAUUUCACCACAGAGUCAUGCAUUCCAGCCUCCCUGCCCUUCCUUCCCUAGGCUGCAGGCUUUGCAGGCUUGCCUUGGAUACUUGCUGAAAUGGAGCAGUUCUGCCAACAAUCAACUCUCUCAUCCUUUGCUUGGCUGAAGACAUCCUUAACUGGCUUUCAUAUUUCAAGGAUAAUUUCACUGGAUAUAGAAUUCCCGUAUUUUUCUCUCAGCACUUUAGAGACGGCGCGCCUCAGCUGCCUUCGGGUGUCACUCUGCAGGUCAUGCAUUCCCACCCCGUCCUGUCCUCGGGCUGGAGAUUGUUCUCUUCGGGUUCCAGCAAUUCAACCAGGAUGCUCUGAGAUCUCUGGUGAAAUUCCCAUCAUUCCCCCGACUUUCUUGAAUAAUCAAUCAGUUACCAAAGUCCCUGCCUCCUGCCUCCAGCAUUUAAGUCCCCGACAGGUCCUUCACCGACAUUUUCCUCUUCAUCAUCAGUACCUUGGUCUUUAAAACACUAUUUUAAGCACCGCCUCCACCGUGGCUGAAAACUCUAAGAGCACUGGGUGUUUUUCUUCCUCCAAAGGAGGAAAAAAGAAACAAAAUUAUUAAAGUUGCG